rnacentral:rRNA from 1 species
GACGAACGCUGGCGGCGUGCCUAAUACAUGCAAGUAGAACGCUGAAGAGAGGAGCUUGCUUCUCUUGGAUGAGUUGCGAACGGGUGAGUAACGCGUAGGUAACCUGCCUGGUAGCGGGGGAUAACUAUUGGAAACGAUAGCUAAUACCGCAUAAUAGUAGAUGUUGCAUGACAUUUGCUUAAAAGGUGCAAUUGCAUCACUACCAGAUGGACCUGCGUUGUAUUAGCUAGUUGGUGGGGUAACGGCUCACCAAGGCGACGAUACAUAGCCGACCUGAGAGGGUGAUCGGCCACACUGGGACUGACACACGGCCCAGACUCCUACGGGAGGCAGCAGUAGGGAAUCUUCGGCAAUGGACGGAAGUCUGACCGAGCAACGCCGCGUGAGUGAAGAAGGUUUUCGGAUCGUAAAGCUCUGUUGUAAGAGAAGAACGAGUGUGAGAGUGGAAAGUUCACACUGUGACGGUAUCUUACCAGAAAGGGACGGCUAACUACGUGCCAGCAGCCGCGGUAAU